ACGCUCGACACCUACGGGAAGCAGCAGUGGGGAAUAUUGCACAAUGGGGGAAACCCUGAUGCAGCGACGCCGCGUGAGCGAAGAAGUAUUUCGGUAUGUAAAGCUCUAUCAGCAGGGAAGAAGAAAGACGGUACCUGACUAAGAAGCCCCGGCUAACUACGUGCCAACAGCCGCGGUAAUCUGAGCGGGCUGGCAAGGC
rnacentral:rRNA from 1 species